CCUACGGGAGGCAGCAGUGAGGAAUAUUGGUCAAUGGGCGCAAGCCUGAACCAGCCAAGUCGCGUGAGGGAAGACUGCCCUAUGGGUUGUAAACCUCUUUUAUAAGGGAAGAAUAAUGACUACGUGUAGUCAGAUGCCCGUACCUUAUGAAUAAGCAUCGGCUAUCUGUGUGCCAGCAGCCGCGGUAAUACGGAGGAUGCGAGCGUUAUCCGGAUUUUUUGGGUUUAACGGGUGCGUGGGGGGUAGUAUAAGUUAGUGGUAAAACGUCGGGGCUUCACCUUGAUUGGCCAUUAAAACGGGAGUACUAGAGUACAGACGAGGUAGGCGGAAUAAGUGAAGUAGCGGUGAAAUGCUUAGAUAUAACUUAGAACCCCGAUAGCGAAGGCAGCUUACCAGACUGUUACUGACGCUGAAGCACGAGAGCGUGGGUAGCGAACAGGAUUAGAUACCCUGGUAGUC
rnacentral:rRNA from 1 species